rnacentral:rRNA from 1 species
ACUAAGCGUACACGGUGGAUGCCCUGGCAGUCAGAGGCGAUGAAGGACGUGCUAAUCUGCGAUAAGCGUCGGUAAGGUGAUAUGAACCGUUAUAACCGGCGAUUUCCGAAUGGGGAAACCCAGUGUGUUUCGUCACACUAUCAUUAACUGAAUCCAUAGGUUAAUGAGGCGAACCGGGGGAACUGAAACAUCUAAGUACCCCGAGGAAAAGAAAUCAACCGAGAUUCCCCCAGUAGCGGCGAGCGAACGGGGAGCAGCCCAGAGCCUGAAUCAGUUUGUGUGUUAGUGGAAGCGUCUGGAAAGGCGCGCGAUACAGGGUGACAGCCCCGUACACAAAAAUGCACAUGCUGUGAGCUCGAUGAGUAGGGCGGGACACGUGGUAUCCUGUCUGAAUAUGGGGGGACCAUCCUCCAAGGCUAAAUACUCCUGACUGACCGAUAGUGAACCAGUACCGUGAGGGAAAGGCGAAAAGAACCCCGGCGAGGGGAGUGAAAAAGAACCUGAAACCGUGUACGUACAAGCAGUGGGAGCACGCUUAGGCGUGUGACUGCGUACCUUUUGUAUAAUGGGUCAGCGACUUAUAUUCUGUAGCAAGGUUAACCGAAUAGGGGAGCCGAAGGGAAACCGAGUCUUAACUGGGCGUUAAGUUGCAGGGUAUAGACCCGAAACCCGGUGAUCUAGCCAUGGGCAGGUUGAAGGUUGGGUAACACUAACUGGAGGACCGAACCGACUAAUGUUGAAAAAUUAGCGGAUGACUUGUGGCUGGGGGUGAAAGGCCAAUCAAACCGGGAGAUAGCUGGUUCUCCCCGAAAGCUAUUUAGGUAGCGCCUCGUGAAUUCAUCUCCGGGGGUAGAGCACUGUUUCGGCAAGGGGGUCAUCCCGACUUACCAACCCGAUGCAAACUGCGAAUACCGGAGAAUGUUAUCACGGGAGACACACGGCGGGUGCUAACGUCCGUCGUGAAGAGGGAAACAACCCAGACCGCCAGCUAAGGUCCCAAAGUCAUGGUUAAGUGGGAAACGAUGUGGGAAGGCCCAGACAGCCAGGAUGUUGGCUUAGAAGCAGCCAUCAUUUAAAGAAAGCGUAAUAGCUCACUGGUCGAGUCGGCCUGCGCGGAAGAUGUAACGGGGCUAAACCAUGCACCGAAGCUGCGGCAGCGACGCUGAUGCGUUGUUGGGUAGGGGAGCGUUCUGUAAGCCUGCGAAGGUGUGCUGUGAGGCAUGCUGGAGGUAUCAGAAGUGCGAAUGCUGACAUAAGUAACGAUAAAGCGGGUGAAAAGCCCGCUCGCCGGAAGACCAAGGGUUCCUGUCCAACGUUAAUCGGGGCAGGGUGAGUCGACCCCUAAGGCGAGGCCGAAAGGCGUAGUCGAUGGGAAACAGGUUAAUAUUCCUGUACUUGGUGUUACUGCGAAGGGGGGACGGAGAAGGCUAUGUUGGCCGGGCGACGGUUGUCCCGGUUUAAGCGUGUAGGCUGGUUUUCCAGGCAAAUCCGGAAAAUCAAGGCUGAGGCGUGAUGACGAGGCACUUCGGUGCUGAAGCAACAAAUGCCCUGCUUCCAGGAAAAGCCUCUAAGCAUCAGGUAACAUCAAAUCGUACCCCAAACCGACACAGGUGGUCAGGUAGAGAAUACCAAGGCGCUUGAGAGAACUCGGGUGAAGGAACUAGGCAAAAUGGUGCCGUAACUUCGGGAGAAGGCACGCUGAUAUGUAGGUGAAGUCCCUCGCGGAUGGAGCUGAAAUCAGUCGAAGAUACCAGCUGGCUGCAACUGUUUAUUAAAAACACAGCACUGUGCAAACACGAAAGUGGACGUAUACGGUGUGACGCCUGCCCGGUGCCGGAAGGUUAAUUGAUGGGGUUAGCGCAAGCGAAGCUCUUGAUCGAAGCCCCGGUAAACGGCGGCCGUAACUAUAACGGUCCUAAGGUAGCGAAAUUCCUUGUCGGGUAAGUUCCGACCUGCACGAAUGGCGUAAUGAUGGCCAGGCUGUCUCCACCCGAGACUCAGUGAAAUUGAACUCGCUGUGAAGAUGCAGUGUACCCGCGGCAAGACGGAAAGACCCCGUGAACCUUUACUAUAGCUUGACACUGAACAUUGAGCCUUGAUGUGUAGGAUAGGUGGGAGGCUUUGAAGUGUGGACGCCAGUCUGCAUGGAGCCGACCUUGAAAUACCACCCUUUAAUGUUUGAUGUUCUAACGUUGACCCGUAAUCCGGGUUGCGGACAGUGUCUGGUGGGUAGUUUGACUGGGGCGGUCUCCUCCUAAAGAGUAACGGAGGAGCACGAAGGUUGGCUAAUCCUGGUCGGACAUCAGGAGGUUAGUGCAAUGGCAUAAGCCAGCUUGACUGCGAGCGUGACGGCGCGAGCAGGUGCGAAAGCAGGUCAUAGUGAUCCGGUGGUUCUGAAUGGAAGGGCCAUCGCUCAACGGAUAAAAGGUACUCCGGGGAUAACAGGCUGAUACCGCCCAAGAGUUCAUAUCGACGGCGGUGUUUGGCACCUCGAUGUCGGCUCAUCACAUCCUGGGGCUGAAGUAGGUCCCAAGGGUAUGGCUGUUCGCCAUUUAAAGUGGUACGCGAGCUGGGUUUAGAACGUCGUGAGACAGUUCGGUCCCUAUCUGCCGUGGGCGCUGGAGAACUGAGGGGGGCUGCUCCUAGUACGAGAGGACCGGAGUGGACGCAUCACUGGUGUUCGGGUUGUCAUGCCAAUGGCACUGCCCGGUAGCUAAAUGCGGAAGAGAUAAGUGCUGAAAGCAUCUAAGCACGAAACUUGCCCCGAGAUGAGUUCUCCCUGACUCCUUGAGAGUCCUGAAGGAACGUUGAAGACGACGACGUUGAUAGGCCGGGUGUGUAAGCGCAGCGAUGCGUUGAGCUAACCGGUACUAAUGAACCGUGAGGCUUAACC